GGAAGGAUCAUUAACAAGGAAGGAUGGGUGGUGGUGGGGGUGGUGGUGUCGUGUGUGUGGUGUCGUGCACAUGUUUAGUGUGGCGUCAUGUGGAUGCAUGCGCACAUCAUCAUCAUCGCCAUCAUUAUCAUAUAUGCUCUCUAGCAGAUGCUGGGAUGCAAACGCGUGCAGAAAUGCAUGCAUGUAUAUAUAUAUUGUCUUGAUUUUAUCUUUUGUGUCAUCGUCAUCAUCAUCACUAUUAUUAUUAUAUGGGGGUGAGGGUGGGGUGAGAUUGCGAGUAAAGGAUUAAACACUUUUAACAAUGGAUCUCUUGGCUCUUGCAUCGAUGAAGAACGCAGUCAAGUGCGAAAAGUAGUGCGAAAUGCAUGCUCUGCGAGUCAUCUAGUCUUUGAACGCAAAUGGCACUGCCAUGACAAGUGGCAGUAUGCCCGUUUGAGAACCACGCAGACAAUCGCCUCUGGCUGGGGGCGGAUGUGGCAGUGUCUUGUUGACUUGUCUUGGUGAUGAUGGUGUGCCGUGCAUGGAUGUCGCGAGUGGUGGCCGUCAUGGUUGUCACGAGUGGUGGUGUCGUGGAUGGCUGUCGUCGUCAUGAUGAUGAUGCGCGGGACUCUGGCCAAGUGGAUGUGUGUGUUGAGGGUGCGCGGAUGGACGCGUGCAAUGUGGUAGUGUAGAAUGGUGCGGGUGGUGGUGGUGACGGUGAGUAAGCUCACUGGUCAUGAUUGCCGUUGGCGCUCGUUGGAUCUGCAUUCGUUGCAGCGACUGUUGGGAGCGCACAGGAAGCAUGCAAUAAUAGAUGACAAAUGGUAAAUGGUCUCAAAUGGGCAGGGCUACCCGCUGGACUUAAGCAUAUCAGUAAGCGGAGGAAAAGAAACUAACAAGGAUUCCUGCAGUAACGGCGAGUGAAGUGGGAGGAGCUCAAAUUUGGAAUCUGGCCUGCCCGCGAGGGGGCCCGAAUUGUAGUCUAGAGGGGUGGUGUCGCGAGGUCAGCCGGGCCCAAGUGUUCUGGAAUGGACGGCCACAGAGGGUGAGAGUCCCGUGGGGCGCGGCGGAGCGAGCAAGGACAGCAGGCCCAAAGAGUCGGGUUGUUUGGGAAUGCAGCUCAAAGGGGUGGUAAACUCCAUCCAAGGCUAAAUAUUGGCAAGAGACCGAUAGCGAACAAGUACCGUGAGGGAAAGAUGAAAAGCACCUUGAAAAGGGAGUGAAACAGCGCGUGAAAUUGUUAAAAGGGAAACGAUUGGCGGCGGGAUUGGGUGCUGGACGCGGGUGCGACACGCGGCGGGACAGAGCGGGAGCCUGUGCAGGCCGAGGUGGAGCACCGGGGAAGGCAUGCGAGCCAGGACGGCCGCGCGAUGGCCUACAAGACCUGGGGCGGGGUGCCUGCGGCUGCGUGCAGCGGCGGGUGCUGGUGCGCCGGGGGAUGGGGCGUGGCGGGGACGGAGCGUGGCGUGGGGCGGCACCGGUGUGGUCGUGGAUGCGUGCGGUGGCUGGAGACGGUGGCGGCACGGGAUCGACGAGGGACACGGGAGCGGCACCACGCGGGCGGGCCUGGUGGACGACGCCAAACGACCCGUCUUGAAACACGGACCAAGGAGUCCAGCAUGUGUGCGAGUGUUUGGGUGGCAAACCCGGGCGCGCAACAAACGUGCAGCAUGGGAACACGGGGAGUGGGCACCAUGGACCGGCGAGCGCCUGCUGGUGCGGGCCGUGUCGGAGCACAGAUGCUGGGACCCGAAAGAUGGUGAACUAUGCCUGGAGAGGAUGAAGCCAGGGGAAACUCUGGUGGAGGUCCGCCGCCGUUCUGACGUGCAAAUCGAUGGUCGAAUCUGGGCAUAGGGGCGAAAGACUAAUCGAACCAUCUGGUAGCUGGUUCCCUC
rnacentral:misc_RNA from 1 species